rnacentral:rRNA from 1 species
AAUCAACGCUGGCGGCGUGCCUAACACAUGCAAGUCGAACGAGAAAGGGGGACUUCGGUCCCUGAGUACAGUGGCGCACGGGUGAGUAACACGUGACUUAUCUACCCUCGAGUGGGGAAUAACUUCGGGAAACCGAGGCUAAUACCGCAUAAUACCCACGGGUCAAAGGAGCAAUUCGCUUGAGGAGGAGGUCGCGGCCGAUUAGUUAGUUGGCGGGGUAAUGGCCCACCAAGACAGUGAUCGGUAUCCGGCCUGAGAGGGCGCACGGACACACUGGAACUGAAACACGGUCCAGACUCCUACGGGAGGCAGCAGUGGGGAAUUUUGCGCAAUGGGGGAAACCCUGACGCAGCAACGCCGCGUGGAGGAUGAAGUCUCUUGGGACGUAAACUCCUUUCGAUCGGGACGAUUAUGACGGUACCGGAAGAAGAAGCCCCGGCUAACUUCGUG